rnacentral:rRNA from 1 species
CAAUAGCGUAUAUUUAAGUUGUUGCAGUUAAAAAGCUCGUAGUUGGAUUUCGGUUAAGAGCGACCGGUCCGCCGUUUGGUGUGCACUGGUUGGUUUUAACUUCCUGUAGAGGACGUGCUCUGGGUUUAACGACCUGGACUCGGAGUCUACGUGGUUACUUUGAAAAAAUUAGAGUGUUCAAAGCGGGCUUACGCUUGAAUAUUUCAGCAUGGAAUAACACUAUAGGACUCCUGUCCUAUUUCGUUGGUCUCGGGACGGGAGUAAUGAUUAGGAGGAACAGUUGGGGGCAUUCGUAUUUCAUUGUCAGAGGUGAAAUUCUUGGAUUUAUGAAAGACGAACUUCUGCGAAAGCAUUUGCCAAGGAUGUUUNCAUUA